rnacentral:RNase_P_RNA from 2 species
GAAGUGGGCCGGACGGUCGCUGCUGUGGAGGUCUCCGUGACUGAAACAGGGGAGGAAAGUCCGGGCUUCAAAGGGCAAGGUGCCAGGUAACGCCUGGGCGGCGAAAGCCGACGGCAAGUGCAGCAGAGAGUAGACCGCCUCAUUCGUGAGGUAAGGGUGAAAGGGUGCGGUAAGAGCGCACCGCGUGUCUGGUAACAGUUCACGGCAAGGUAAACCCCACCUGAAGCAAGACCAAAUAGGAAUCCUGAGGCACGGCCCGUGCUGGAUUCGGGUAGGUCGCUUGAGCGUAUGAGUGAUUGUACGCCUAGAGGAAUGAUCGUCCUCGACAGAACCCGGCUUAUAGGCCCACUUCUUAA